AAAAAACCAUUAUUUCCAACUCCAAAACCACCUCCCCCACCACAAACAAACCAUCAUUUUAAGCUACAAAACCACCACCAAUGUCAAUACCAACAUCACUGUCACCACCACACGCCACCACUACCUCCGUCCCUAUCUUACCAUCAACGCAACGACUAGCAAAAAGCAGCAGCACCACCCUUGGACCAAAAAUCACAACCACAAUCUCCAUUACACCACAACCACCAAACCCACUGCGGUCGUCACCACCACAGCAUCGUUACCACUGCCUUAUCAGAUCCACAAUCGCCGCAUCAAUGCAAUUCGUGCAACCAUUGAUGGCUCUGCAAAUCGUUCAGUCACACCAUUGCUACUUGCAACGACUGCAACUCCG
rnacentral:lncRNA from 1 species